CAUUUGCUGCUCCCUCUCAACAGGCUCUUGGGCAGACGCCAAAGACACCCAGUUCAGGUACUCCGAUCAUAAAAUGUGAGUUCUGAAGAACUGUCUAGAGAACCAAUAGCCACUAAAAGACACCUUAAUAAAGUUGAAAAAUUCAUGACAGUCUCAAAAAAGCACAGCAGGGUCCUUACAGUAGAUGAAGAUCGCCCAGCAAAAUGUAGAAGCCAGCUGCUUUUCUGGAAAUAAAAAAUGGCAUCAGCUUUGGCAGACAGUAGUGAGAUCCAUCACUUCCUAGGACCCCCAAACAAUCUUCUGACCAAGGUCUGGAGAAGGGUGGUCACUGAGCAGCACCAUAAACAGACCACAAAAGCGUACCACCAAAGGUACAAGAGGAUUUUCAAAUGGCGAAUUAUUUCUACACGCAUAACAAACCAGGCUCCAAACCUACCGUGAAAGGAAAUCUUGGAACAUUAUAUUCCAUGUUCUUUGGACAAUAACAAGCAGGGAAUCCCACAGAAAAUUUCUCUCACUGAAAAAGUCAACCUACCCGAUUCACUCUGUUUUCUCUACAACCACAAAGUUCUCUGACAGCACUCUGGGGGGAAAAAGGAGUUAAUUCCUAGAUCGAUUCAAACACUAAGGUUCAAAUUAUAGACACAAGCUAAAAACAAAUUCCAAUUUCUUUUCCUCUUUCCUUUUGAUAUAUGUGCUAAUCUAGAGUGCCAAGUUCAGAAAAUACCUCUUGGGCUAUACAGAAUCAUUAGCUAUUCACGUUUACAAGGAAAAUCCUCUCAAAAGCUUUGCAGACAGAUGACGGCAGAUGCCCAAUGCAACUUUUUUUAAGUGAGUGUGUGUAAUGCAUACAAGGUAGAGAGAGGGAGGCACCAGAAUUUGUGUUUUUCAUUCAAGUGGAUGACGCCAGCUCACUAUCUGUAACGGACUGUUCCUUUGGAAUCAGCUCCCUGUGUCACAACGACCUGGCAAACUUGAAUGCUUUCACUAUCACUGGAGUCCUUGCAAUCCUGCCUUGGUUGUGACCCAUUCACUUCUGCCCCAACUUCUCAGAGAUGCCUUACUCAGCAUCUAAUUAGUCAGGGAGGAUUUGCCGUGGCUCUUAACCCUGACAUGGGAGUGGGAGGAUGUGCUGCUGUGGCAGCCCAAAUCUGUCCUGUCACUGCAUUAAUCAGAUUUCCAUAAAGCUAUGCAUGAAUAAUUGGAUUUAUCAGUGAAUGUGAAUAUACACUCAUAAAUAUAAUUA
rnacentral:lncRNA from 1 species